UACGAAGGGGGCUAGCGUUGUUCGGAUUUACUGGGCGUAAAGCGCGUGUAGGCGGGUCGUUAAGUUGGGGGUGAAAUCCCGGAGCUCAACUGCGGAACUGCCCUCAAAACUGGCGCGCUGGACCCGAGUAGAGGCAAGUGGAAUUGCGAGUGUAGAGGUGAAAUUCGUAGAUAUUCGCAGGAACACCAGUGGGGAAGGCGACUUGCUGGACUUGUGGUGACGCUGAGACGCGAAAGCGUGGGGAGCAAACAGG
rnacentral:rRNA from 1 species